rnacentral:rRNA from 1 species
AGGACGAACGCUGGCGGCGUGCUUAACACAUGCAAGUCGAGCGGUAAGGCCUUUCGGGGUACACGAGCGGCGAACGGGUGAGUAACACGUGGGUGAUCUGCCCUGCACUUCGGGAUAAGCCUGGGAAACUGGGUCUAAUACCGGAUAUGACCUCCUAUCGCAUGGUGGGUGGUGGAAAGAUUUAUCGGUGCAGGAUGGGCCCGCGGCCUAUCAGCUUGUUGGUGGGGUAAUGGCCUACCAAGGCGACGACGGGUAGCCGACCUGAGAGGGUGACCGGCCACACUGGGACUGAGACACGGCCCAGACUCCUACGGGAGCGGCAGUAGGGAAUAUUGGACAAUGGGCGCAAGCCUGAUCCAGCAAUGCCGCGUGAGUGAUGAAGGCCUUAGGGUUGUAAAGCUCUUUACCCGAGUAUGAAUAAUGACAGUAUCGGAAGAAUAAGCCCCGACUAACUCCGUGCCAGCAGCCG